rnacentral:lncRNA from 1 species
CUGGUAUUUAUGAUGAGUUUAUUUAUUUGAUUGAUGUGUUUUAUCAUUUGAUUUUGUCAUUUGAUUAUGGACUGUCCAUUUCAAAUUUUCCUUGGAUUUUUACUUUUUACACUGGAAUCAAAAGAUACAUAGUCUUCAUUCUCAAGCAUUUGUAUAAGGUUGGCAUUGAACCCUUAAAAAACGAUGGUUAUUUACAAAUUUGAUAUUUACCUUGCACUGGAAAUUCUGUUUUAACAGACUUAUUCUGACUUCAGUAAUUUCUG